AUUGUUUCUUUGGUUACAGGAUGACUUUCUGUUGCGGCACUAUGAUAAAGGACCGUGCAAGAACAAAUUGGGGCACUCACGCGCAUCUGUACUAUGGCACCGUGCACAGGUGGUAGGAAUAUUUGCAGGCUUCGGACUAUUGCUGUUGGUGGCCAGCCCGCUCCUCUUGUUGGCAGCGCCAUGCAUCGUCUGUUGCAAGUGCAGGCUCUGCAACCCCAGCACGAAGAAUCUCGAGGAGGUAGACGAGAUAGACAGCAUAAGUCCCACCCGGGAUGACGACCGGGACCAACAGCCGGACCGAUACCUAUCCGACUGACGCCGGCGACGCGACCGUAGGUACUAAACUAUCACAACCUGACAUACUGGCGAUAUGUACUUCAAAAAUCCAGUACUUACACUGUACCUAGGUCCUAGGUACUCAAAAGUGAAAAUGAACACUAAAUACAGACUACAAAAGAACUAUUUUUCUCCACGUGUUAAAAGUAAUAGUUUUAAACCAGAUUCAAAUGUUUUUGACGUAUCUUUUCCGUAUUUAUUGAUGUUUAUUAUUAUAAUAGUAUAGUUGAAGUGCAAGUUUUAGCUUCAAUUCUCAUUCAAAAUGUUAUAUUUAUCUGUAAUAUGUGUCUAUAAUUGUGACAGAUUGUCGUAUAGCAUAACUCUUGAGUAUAAGUGAAUUUAAAAAUAACGGAUGAUCGUUGGAGAUUUGUGAUAUAAAGUGAACUUCGCCUCUACUAGAAAAAGGGAUAUUUUAGAUCUAAAUGUAAGAAAGAACGUUCGCCUCUUUGUGGUUAAAUUAAUGUAAAUUAAUUAACUGUACUAUAUCUAUUUAAUAUCUCGUAUAUUUGACACGCUAAUGAAUAAAAUAUUGCUAUUUUGUUUCAUUGGGGAAACUACGUUGUUCUUACAAAUCUUUAAAACUGCACUAAAAAUGCCUUAUGCUCAUUUGACUUCGCAGAGGAUUUGAAAAGCUGUAUCUUUUGCCUUUUUGAGACUCUCGACCCGUUUUUGACGUAAAAAUGACAUCUGACAUUUUAAGUGUCAUGGCGACUGUGAUGUUUCCCCCCGAAAAUAAUGUACACACAAUACUUAUGUGUUUUUAUAAAUCAGUAGAAUUCAUAGUAAAUAGAAAAUAUGUAUAAUAUUACACUGAUAUGUAAAUAUUGUUGUAUUCAGCCAUUAUUCUUUUAUGUACCUAUGUAAAAUAUUACUACUACUAAAUGACUCUGUCAUACGUCGUUACUUUGCCAAUUGCGCUUGACUGUUAAAAAUAACAAAUGUGUACUAUAAAUAAAUUAAAGCUAUAAUUUUAUUUGCGCGAAUAUUCUGUUUGCGAUAAAACAUCUUUAUAACUCAUUCAGUCUGUGACAGUAUGAUUUGUGUAAUUCAAUAUUAUUUCAACAGAGGGCAGGAUUAGAGCAAAAGGAUUUUGACAAUUGUGAAAUUAUCGUCCUAAUACUGAAAGGCUACUCGAUUUUAAGUUGUACUUAAAUAUCGUGCUUUUUUGUCGCGGAGAACCUAACGGGUA